UACGAAGGGUGCAAGCGUUACUCGGAAUUACUGGGCGUAAAGCGUGCGUAGGUGGUUCGUUAAGUCUGAUGUGAAAGCCCUGGGCUCAACCUGGGAAUGGCAUUGGAAACUGGCGACCUAGAGUGCGGUAGAGGGUAGUGGAAUUCCGGGUGUAGCGGUGAAAUGCGUAGAUAUCCGGAGGAACACCGGUGGCGAAGGCGGCUUCCUGGACCGACACUGACGCUGAGGCGCGAAAGCUAGGGGAGCAAACGGG
rnacentral:rRNA from 1 species